CUCCAGGGGAAUUUAGUCAUUUCUUGUAUUUGUCUGCCAACUCUAAAAUGGGAGAGGAACUGAAAUUCCAGCGGCUCUGGGAGUUUAGGAGGGGAAACACUGAUUUUGAUUCUUCAACAGAUGAUGGUAAAUCAAGUUUAGGCGGUGAGCCAGCUUGCAGUAAGAGCACACUAGUCUCCUGCUUGGUUCCUGUUGGUAAAGAUGAAACUAGUGAGGCUAGUAGAUUUCAGCAGAAGGGCAACAAUGAUCCUUGCAUUUCAGGUCAAUUUGAAAUUGGGAAAGCCGAAAAAGGGAAAGAAAGAACAAGUAAAAAGGAUAAUGAAAAGAAAAGGGGAUCUCG
rnacentral:misc_RNA from 1 species